GUGGACCUACGGGACGCAGCAGUGGGGAAUAUUGGGCAAUGGGCGCAAGCCUGACCCAGCAACGCCGCGUGAAGGAAGAAGGCUUUCGGGUUGUAAACUUCUUUUCUCAGGGACGAAGAAAGUGACGGUACCUGAGGAAUAAGACACGGCUAACUACGUGCCAGCAGCCGCGGUAAUACGUAGGUGGCAAGCGUUAUCCGGAUUUACUGGGUGUAAAGGGCAUGUAGGCGGGGAAGCAAGUCAGAUGUGAAAACAACGGGCUCAACCUGUGGCCUGCAUUUGAAAAUGCUUUUUU
rnacentral:rRNA from 1 species